rnacentral:rRNA from 1 species
GACGAACGCUGGCGGCGUGCUCAACACAUGCAAGUCGAACGGUAAGGCCCUUCGGGGUACACGAGUGGCGAACGGGUGAGUAACACGUGGGUGAUCUGCCCUGCACUUCGGGAUAAGCCUGGGAAACUGGGUCUAAUACCGGAUAGGACUCCGGACUGCAUGGUCUGGGGUGGAAAGCUUUUGCGGUGUGGGAUGGGCCCGCGGCCUAUCAGCUUGUUGGUGGGGUGAUGGCCUACCAAGGCGACGACGGGUAGCCGGCCUGAGAGGGUGACCGGCCACACUGGGACUGAGAUACGGCCCAGACUCCUACGGGAGGCAGCAGUGGGGAAUAUUGCACAAUGGGCGCAAGCCUGAUGCAGCGACGCCGCGUGAGGGAUGACGGCCUUCGGGUUGUAAACCUCUUUCAGCACCGACGAAGCGCAAGUGACGGUAGGUGCAGAAGAAGGACCGGCCAACUACGCGCCAGCCGCCGCCGUAA